rnacentral:rRNA from 1 species
UACGUAGGGUGCGAGCGUUGUCCGGAAUUAUUGGGCGUAAAGAGCUCGUAGGCGGUCUGUCGCGUCUGCUGUGAAAACCCGAGGCUCAACCUCGGGCCUGCAGUGGGUACGGGCAGACUAGAGUGCGGUAGGGGAGAAUGGAAUUCCUGGUGUAGCGGUGGAAUGCGCAGAUAUCAGGAGGAACACCGAUGGCGAAGGCAGUUCUCUGGGCCGUAACUGACGCUGAGGAGCGAAAGUGUGGGGAGCGAACAGG